UACGUAGGGGGCAAGCGUUGUCCGGAUUUAUUGGGCGUAAAGAGCGUGUAGGCGGUUUGGUAGGUCCGCUGUGAAAACUCGAGGCUCAACCUCGAGACGCCGGUGGAAACCAUCAGACUAGAGUCCGGAAGAGGAGAGUGGAAUUCCUGGUGUAGCGGUGAAAUGCGCAGAUAUCAGGAGGAACACCAAUGGCGAAAGCAGCUCGCUGGGACGGUACUGACGCUGAGACGCGAAAGCGUGGGGAGCAAACAGG
rnacentral:rRNA from 1 species